AUGCCUGUUCGAAAUGUGAAUUAUAGUAUUUUUUCUUGUGGGAAUGGAAAUGAAAAACACGAGAUACUUUUUCUAGAAAUAUGGACUAAUGGAAGUUUAACCCCUAAGGAAGCACUUUAUGAGGCUUCUCGUAAUUUGAUUGAUUUAUUUCUUCCUUUUCUACACGCGGAGGAAGAGGGCGCUAGUUUCGAAGAAAAUAAAAACAGGUUUACUCCACCCCUUUUUACUUUUCAAAAAAGUUACCGAUCCCGGCUCUGUGAGUUCUUUCUUCCGUGA
rnacentral:rRNA from 1 species